ensembl:snRNA U6 U6 spliceosomal RNA
GUGCUCGCUUCGGCAGCACAUAUACUAAAAUUGGAAUGAUACAGAGAAGAUUAGCAUGGCCCCUGCGCGGGGAUGACACUCAAAUUGGUGAAGCAUUCCAUAUUUUU